CCCGCGGCGGCGGCGGGGCCUGCGGCGGGGCCGCCCGUCCCUUGCCCUCGUCGUUGUCCCUGCCCCGGCGGCGCAGCGCGGCGGCAGCGGACCUUGUCCGCCGGCCGGCCGGCCGCAGCGCCGGUGCCCGCUAGGAAAGAUCUAGUUGACAUUGCAAAUAGUCACACUAACUUUACUGGUAAUACACAGUGCUUAGCUAGAAUGAAUGGCCAAGGCAUGGAGAGAACAGAAGCAUGGUGGAAGCAGGAAUCUCUUUCAGCUGUCUUCAGUGCCUGACACAGGAUCCUGUAACAGUGAACCCUGACUUCUUUUCAGAAGAACAACUGCACAUUUUCUCUGUCCAGCUUCUCAUUGGAUUGUAAAGUUUCAAUCAUAGAAUCUCAAAUACAGGGAAAAAAGGAGCUAAAGGCCAGACCUGUGGCAUAGGAUACUAUUCACCUGUUUACUUGGUCCUGAAUAGUGAAGAAUUUAAAGGGUUAACCAAUCAGAAGGGUAAGGAAACAUCUAUGUGCACUGCGUUGUUGCGGUAGUAAUUAAACCAAUGCCAAGACUGCAAAAAUGGAACUUCUCUUUCAUUUUUUAUUAGUUUUAAGCUAAAAUGGAAAAAUUAUUUAGCUAUGUUGGAUACAUCCCCUCAGAUUUUAAGUCUGAAAGGCAAUGGAGGGCAGAAACAUAGACAACAGUAAGAAUGGCCCAGCUACUGUGAGUGGCAAGUGUUCCUUUCCAGGGGCUGAUGCUGAUUGCAUACCUCAGAAACUCAUUUUACUGUGUCAAUUUACUAAGGAAUUUACGAUUCUGGUGCUUCUAUUAAAACAAAUAGAGAAAAUGCACAUCUCUGCAGAUGUCUCUGCUCUGCCUGCUAAAGAGCAGAGGUGUACUGACAGUUUCUGUCAAGGCCUCUGUAUGUUCUUUGGUUUAAUGCAAAGGACAGAGCAAUCUAUCAAUGAGAGUGCUUUCCUUUUCCACAUUUUCUUCUUCAUACACUGAUACCCUUUUCUUCAAUUUCUUUUGUUCCCCUUAUAUCUGCAAUCAAUCAACCUUUCCUUCUCUACCUUCCUUUCUACUGCUGGGAAGAUUUUUCUCUUUUUGUCUAGCUCAUCAUUUUUCCCCUUCAUUGUCCCCAAGAUUUCUAUUCUGUACAUACUACUCACUGGAUGUUACUAUCUGUGCUCACCUCUGUAUACCAUGAAAAACAAGGGCCAUUAAAGCUGAAAGUUUUCAUGGGUAGUAUUGACCAUGAUGGUGUGUAAUAUAGCAUUGCUGAGAAAUGCUUACUAAGGCAUCAUAUCUUCCUGAUAGAGAACAACCUGUAACUGAUAGUCCAUGUUCAAAGUGCAGAGUCUAACCAUAAUGGUUAAUGGUAACUCUGGAUCAGAAGUUACAGCACUGGUAAGUCUUCAGCACAGUGAUAUGUCUAUGUAAACCAGCACUGGAGGAAGUAACUGGUGGGGGAGAAGGAUCUGGGUGUGUUUUGCUGCUCAUUAAUUCAGACAACUAAUUUCUCCCAGAAAGUUCUGGUAAUUUUAUAUUGUACAUAAGCCUCUUGUAUGUCCAGUUCUGCUCACCUGUGCAUUCAUUGUGUGAAAUGUAGUACCUGAAGAAUGAUGGUAACUGGCAAAUGAAAUUAGAACAUGUAUAGCCACAAAGCAUCAUCUUAGGUUUAGGCAGAGUCUUAGUUGCUUACCUACAGAUUUUAGAGGGACAUUUUUAGAGGGACUUUUGAUUCUGUUGUAUUGUGUUAUAUUACAAGAGUAAGAAAGAAAGGCACAGAAGAGAGAAAAGGUAAGGAAUUAAUUUUUAAUAAGUAAUUGAUUUUUAAAAAAAAGGUAGAAAAGUUUAGCCCCUGGUCAAAAAUAAGACUGAAAUGGGUAAUUUUUAAAAUAACUGAUAAGAAUAUUGUGCAGCUUUACUAUGAGGGUAAUACAUGAUUUACGAUCCCUUUAUGUAUUAAUUUUGCUGUUAAA